rnacentral:rRNA from 1 species
GGGGGGAGCAAGCGUUGUUCGGAUUUACUGGGCGUAAAGGGCGCGUAGGCGGCCAGCGCAAGUCAGUUGUGAAAUCUCCGGGCUUAACUCGGAAAGGUCAACUGAUACUGCGCGGCUAGAGUGCGGAAGGGGCAACUGGAAUUCUCGGUGUAGCGGUGAAAUGCGUAGAUAUCGAGAGGAACACCUGCGGCGAAGGCGGGUUGCUGGGCCGACACUGACGCUGAUGCGCGAAAGCCAGGGGAGCGAACGGGAUUAGAUACCCCGGUAGUCCUGGCCUUAAACGAUGGAUGCUUGGUGUCUGGAGUUUUAUAGUCUCCGGGUGCCGCAGCUAACGCGUUAAGCAUCCCGCCUGGGGAGUACGGUCGCAAGACUGAA